AACACGUUAAAAGGUCUUUGUGUGGACCGCGGACUCCUUUUCCCUGUCGCAUCAUUGGCCGUAACGCUACAGCAAGUGCUGCAGCAUGAGCUUCAGCAUGUAUUUUUGCUUUCUCUUGUUCUUGUAUUAUAGUGGCCAAAUCCUCGUUUGCAUUAUUUGAAUCAGGGUAUGACUGAUUUUGAGUUUCCUCAGUAUUUUCUAAGUCCUGUUGGGCCCCCCAAUCAUCAGAGUCCAUGGGCAGGGGAAUGUCCUCCGCUCGUAGUAGCGGCUGACUUAUCUUCUUCGCAGAAGGAUUUACCACUGCCUGUUCCUCAGGUGUCAAUGGGGCCAUGGGAACAUCGGCGUUAUUCCCGCCC